rnacentral:rRNA from 1 species
UACAGAGGUCCCAAGCGUUGUUCGGAUUUACUGGGCGUAAAGGGUGCGUAGGCGGUCAUUUAAGUCUGACGUGAAAUCUCCGGGCCUAACCCGGAAACUGCGUUGGAAACUAUCUGACUAGAGGAAUGGAGGGGAGACUGGAAUACUUGGUGUAGCAGUGAAAUGCGUAGAUAUCCAGUGGAACACCAGUGGCGAAGGCGAGUCUCUGGACAUUUCCUGACGCUGAGGCACGAAAGCCAGGGGAGCGAACGGG